UACAGAGGUCUCAAGCGUUGUUCGGAUUCAUUGGGCGUAAAGAGCGUGUAGGCGGCCCGGUAAGUCCGCUGUAAAAGUCAAAGGCUUAACCUUUGAAUGUCAGUGGAUACUGCCGGGCUAGAGUCCGGAAGAGGCGAGUGGAACUCCUGGUGUAGCGGUGGAAUGCGCAGAUAUCAGGAAGAACACCAACGGCGAAGGCAGCUCGCUAGGACGGUACUGACGCUGAGACGCGAAAGCGUGGGGAGCGAACAGG
rnacentral:rRNA from 1 species